rnacentral:rRNA from 1 species
CCUACGGGAGGCAGCAGUGGGGAAUAUUGCGCAAUGGGCGAAAGCCUGACGCAGCGACGCCGCGUGAGGGAUGAAGGUCUUCGGAUCGUAAAACUCUGUCAGCAGGGAAGAACGGUCACUGUGCUAAUCAGCAGUGAAUUGACGGUAUCUGCAAAGGAAGAACCGGCUAACUCCGUGCCAGCAGCCGCGGUAAUACGGAGGGUGCGAGCGUUAAUCGGAAUUACUGGGCUUAAAGCGCUCGUAGGCGGUAUGUCAAGUCAAGGGUGAAAGCCCCGGGCUCAACGGGGGAACUGCCUUGGAAACUGGCAGACUUGAGUGUGUGAGAGGAUAGUGGAAUUCCAGGUGUAGGAGUGAAAUCCUUAGAUAUCUGGAGGAACAUCAGUGGCGAAGGCGACUAUCUGGCACAUAACUGACGCUGAGGAGCGAAAGCGUGGGUAGCAAACAGGAUUAGAUACCCGAGUAGUC